UACGUAUGGAGCAAGCGUUAUCCGGAUUUACUGGGUGUAAAGGGAGUGUAGGUGGUCAGGCAAGUCAGAAGUGAAAGCCCGGGGCUCAACCCCGGGACUGCUUUUGAAACUGCAGGGCUAGAGUGCAGGAGGGGCAAGUGGAAUUCCUAGUGUAGCGGUGAAAUGCGUAGAUAUUAGGAGGAACACCAGUGGCGAAGGCGGCUUGCUGGACUGUAACUGACACUGAGGCUCGAAAGCGUGGGGAGCAAACAGG
rnacentral:rRNA from 1 species